AUUAGUUGUAUUAGGUUCACCUGUUCCCUCUGCCUUCCUGCCUCCUUGCCUCACCUGUCCUUAGUUCCUUUGAUUACCUGCCUUUUCUCUCUGCAUAUUAGUUGGUUUGUUUCAUUAUGUUUUGUGGGUUCCUUGUGUUACAACUCGCUCAUACUCGCUACCCUCGUCCAUGCCAUGAUCCUGCAGUGUUCAGCCUUGUAAGUUUUGGAUUCCACUCUGACCUGGAAGAGAUUAUCCAGACUGCACAGAAACGUAAACCCGGUGAGGUGAAGACUCCAGCAACACUUGAAAUACAGAUGAGCCAACCCCGGUGAUUUUAUUUAUUAAUAAAGGAGGUGUUCCAGGCACGUCCCACCGUGAGGAGGGAUGUCUGGGCGUCUCUGCUGAGUCUGCUGCCCCUGCGACCCGGUCCUGGAUAAAGCAGAAGACGACGAGUACUAUUAUAGUUGUUAGCCUGGUCCAUGAGUACAACAACUGUUACAAUUAGAGAAAAUGUAUCAUGCUAACCUACCCGGAUAUUAAUGCAGACGUGUGACAAAUAAAAGGUAGAAUCAAAGAGUGUUUCAGUAACUGUUUGGCCUCCACUUGCUGAAAGAAAUGCUAUUUAUUAAUAAUCUGUUUUAAGGUGAAGGUGAUUUCUCAGAAAAGCUCUUUGUUGACAUGCAAUGACUUCUUCCAUAAAGAUGCUGUCAGCAAAAUGUUCUCCAACACCAUUCUAACUCCACCAGGCUGUCUCACUGUUUGAUGUGUUAUAAUUCAGUCUUACAAACAAACACAAAUGUGAACAAAAUAUUGAAAUUAACAGUUCUCUCUGUGUUUUUAUUGUUAGCUUUUUGUCUUGUUUUCAAAGUGUGAACUUGACACAUUACACCAAGUAAAAUUAGUCGUGUCUGCCGUGUGAGUCAUCAGCUUAUCCACUUUCCAUAUGGCUUUAUUUUUCUUUUUUUAUUUAUUUCAUUUCUACUGGAACCACUCACCAAGUUUUUUGCUACACAUUCUAAGGUUUGAGUUGGAAAUGCAGCUCAUAUUAUACUAUUUUAGAUGUGUUAGUAAAAGGUUUCAUGGUUUUAAAUUGUAUUUCCCACAUUUUGCCAUUCUACAGCCACAGACUUCAAUGUGUUUUAUCAGUUUUCUGUGAUUUGAGGCUUCUGAAGGCUGUUGGGUGCACUUUUUAUUUCAGGGUAUUAGAAUAAAAAGAACUGAAUACAAACCACACUUAGACUUUUAUUUAGGGUUGUAACAUAAAAAAGGUUUGUUUACCUUUGCAUGAAAUUGAUAGGCAAACCUUUGAAUUCUCCCUCUACCUAGUGAAUAUUUUUGAAUUUGUAAUCUAUUAAAAUGAGAGCAAACAGAUUUGAAACCACCUGUCAGUGCUUGCAUGCGUUUGGAACUUGCAACCUGUGGCUCGGGAGCCAUGUCUGGCUCUUUAGGGUCUCCACAGUGGCUCAAAAUAUGUUCGACCAAUUAUAAUAUAAAACUGAGCAGUAUUUUUGAUGUAUCAAAGUAAGAACAAAACUGGGAAUCAUUUUCUGUUAAGCUUUUUGUAUUUUUUGUUUAUUUUCCAUUAGUAUCUAGCAACCCAUUCUAGAAAAUGUUUCAAUUAUUUAAAAGUGUUUUAUAACCUUGAUAAAUACUGUUAAUUAAAAAUAAAUUUUACAUUUUAAUCAAUUUA